AUGCUAUGCUGGAUGCCUAAAUUCCCAGCGCAUGCAUAUGGCCACGUAUCACGUAAGGCAGCCUCGGCCUGGUCAAACCGAGUAGAUAAGGGAGAGCGACUAGAUGAAAUAAACAGGUCUACGAAUUCCCGAGUCACUUCAAUCCCAAAUCCAGAGCGGAGACCGGCGGAGACCCCCCAGCGCCGGCUGACCGGCCGUAUCACCGAUGAGAAGAUCUCCUGCCGCGCUCGUCCUGGAGGAGGAGCCACCGCGGAGGUGGGUGCCGGGUGCGACGCCGUUGUAGGCGCCAUCCGCGAGCGUGAGCACCGCUGCUGCGCGGCUGGAGCGGCUGCUCGACUGCGGACUCUCCAGCGGGACGGUGGGGACGGCAGGCGCGACGGCCCGACAGUGUCCGCAUCGACAACCACAUCGCUGGCUUCGGCUUCAACAACCGCAGGGGUUGGAGACGGCAGCGCCGCGGCCUCGUCGUCGUCGUCGAUUAUGACGACCUCGAUCGGCUGGCCGUGCUCAAGUCCUGGCGCGGUGGUCGAUGGCGGCCAUGGUGCGGCCGUAAAACCUCUCCGCGAGGCUGCUCCGGCCCGCGUUGGCGUCGGCGUGUUCUGCGAGCGCCACGGGCACGAAGCCAGGGGGGCCGCGGCACGGGUGCAGGACAGGCGCGCGCAAGGGCGCGGCUGA
rnacentral:rRNA from 1 species